rnacentral:tRNA from 1 species
CAGGGAGACAACAAAAUGUUUAAUAUUAUUUUGUCACCUUAGGUCGAUCGGUAUCUCACAUUCUUAAUUUAUUAAGGAUUUUAUUUCCUAAGUUUUUCUAGGUCACACCCAUUACUUUUCCUGGGCCAUUAGCUCAGGUGGUUAGAGCGCACCCCUGAUAAGGGUGAGGUCCCUGGUUCAAGUCCAGGAUGGCCCAUAUCUCUAUGUUGGGGGUAUAGCUCAGUUGGUAGAGCGCCUGCUUUGCAAGCAGGAUGUCAGCGGUUCGAGUCCGCUUACCUCCACUGAUUACCACCUCUUCCAUAAUUUUAUUAAGGAAAUGUUUUGAGUAGUGAUCAAAUUCUGAACGAAUCUAGCUUCCUAAUGAAAUCAUUAAGAUGCUGGACUCAUUGAAUUAAUUUCAUUGUUUUCAGAGAACCUUGACAACUGCAUAGAUUAUUUUUAAAGACAAUAAGCAUCUUUAUGAUGCAGAUUUAUUAUUUGUGCGAAUGCAUUAAUAACAAUUCUAUUAAGCUGAUGCUUCAAUUAUGAAGUUAUU